rnacentral:ncRNA from 1 species
CAGCUUGUGUCAAUAAGGGCACACUUCAGUGGCGACACUGUCGGAUAAACCUUGUGAAUUCAGGGGAAGAGGAUAAUGGAGUAAAAAGCGGAAAUGGCAAUUGUAAUCGAAUAAAAGAAAAACAUGUUCUUGUCUCUUAUUCCCAUUAUCUUUCCAACCCUGAGCCAAGCCUCAAAUUUAAGGGAAUCUUCUUCUUAAAUUUGAGGAAGGUGCAGAGACUAUCGAAAUCACUCCAGCAUGAAGCGAGUAAGAGUAGUGUUGGAGGAAGAGAGUAGAGUACACCAAGAUGACAGCAUAUAUUAUCUUGGUGGAAGCGCAAGGGUUCUUAUUCAAUAUCGCAGUUGAAUAAGAAUAUGAUAUAGUCCACCUGUUUGUGAAAAACAG